GCGCCGUUGGUCUAAUGGUUAGGAUCCAUCUCUUCCAAAGAUGGGGUCGGGUUCAAUUCCCCGGCGGCGCA
rnacentral:tRNA from 1 species